AUUGAACGCUGGCGGCAGGCCUAACACAUGCAAGUCGAGUGAGCGGCGGACGGGUGAGUAAUGUCUGGGAAACUGCCUGAUGGAGGCGGAUAAUUACGGGAAACGGUAGCUAAUACCGCAUAACAUCAGAUGUGCCCAGAUGGGAUUAGCUAGUAGGUGGGGUAACGGCUGACCUUGGCGUCGAUCCCUAGCUGGUCUGAGAGGAUGACCAGCCACAGUGGCAAUGAGACACGGUCCAGACUCCUACGGUAGGCAUCAGUGGGGAAUAUUGCAAAAUGGGCGCAAGCCAGAUGCAGCCAUGCCGCGUGUGGGAAGAAGGCCUUCGGGUUGUAAAGCACUUUCAGCGGGGAGGCAUUACCCGCAGAGGAAGCACCGGCUAACUCCGUGCCAGCAGCCGCGGAAAUAC
rnacentral:rRNA from 1 species